AUGCGCUUCCUUUCUCGAUCUUCUUCCCCCGUUCCAAUCUUUGUUCGCCGAUCCACCUAUCAGCAUCUUCGCGCGAAUGCCUCUUUGACGAACUUCAAUUCAACCAUCUCGCUCUCCCUUCCCACUGAUCUCCAAUUGAUUCGCCUUCUGCCUUCCUUAGAACCACGCAAAGAACACAAAGCUACGAAGCGGUUGGAUUUCGUCCGAUGCAUCUUCAGAAGCAGCGAUUAG